GGUUCUCUCGUUCAAUUGGCAGGAUACCGGACUUUUAAUCCGGGAGAUGUGGGUUCGAAUCCCACGGGAAUCACCA
rnacentral:tRNA from 1 species